rnacentral:rRNA from 1 species
UACGUAGGGUGCAAGCGUUAAUCGGAAUUACUGGGCGUAAAGCGUGCGCAGGCGGUUGUGCAAGACAGAUGUGAAAUCCCCGGGCUUAACCUGGGAAUUGCAUUUGUGACUGCACGGCUAGAGUGUGUCAGAGGGGGGUAGAAUUCCACGUGUAGCAGUGAAAUGCGUAGAUAUGUGGAGGAAUACCGAUGGCGAAGGCGGCCCCCUGGGAUAACACUGACGCUCAUGCACGAAAGCGUGGGGAGCAAACAGG